rnacentral:rRNA from 1 species
GUCUCCGGCCAUACCACUCUGGCAACGCCCGUUCUCGUCUGUUCUCGGAAGCUAAGCAGGGUCGGGCCUGGUUAGUACUUGGAUGGGGAGACUUCCUUGUAAUACCGGGUGCCGUAGGCU